UACGUAGGUGGCAAGCGUUGUCCGGAUUUACUGGGCGUAAAAAGCGCGCAGGCGGUCGUUCAAGUCGCGUGUGAAAGCCCCCGGCUCAACUGGGGAGGGUCACGCGAUACUGAUCGACUCGAAGGCAGGAGAGGGUCGCGGAAUUCCCGGUGUAGAGGUGAAAUUCGUAGAUAUCGGGGGAAGACCACGGUGGCGAAGGCGGCGACCUGGGUAGAUACUGACGCUGAGGUGCGAAAGCGUGGGGAGCAAACAGGAGUUAGAAACCCUU
rnacentral:rRNA from 1 species